rnacentral:rRNA from 1 species
UACGGAGGGCGCAAGCGGUGUUCGGAAUCACUGGGCGUAAAGCGCGUGUAGGCGGCUUGGUAAGUCGGGUGUGAAAGCCCGGGGCCUAACCCCGGAACUGCACUCGAAACUGCCUCGCUCGAGUCCCGGAGAGGAUGGUGGAAUUCCCGGUGUAGUGGUGAAAUACGUAGAUAUCGGGAGGAACACCAGCGGCGAAGGCGGCCAUCUGGACGGUGACUGACGCUGAGACGCGAAAGCGUGGGGAGCAAUCAGG